AGCGAACAGGAUUAGAUACCCUGGUAGUCCACGCCGUAAACGAUGAGUGCUAGGUGUNGGAUCCUUUCCGGGAUUCAGUGCCGCAGCUAACGCAUUAAGCACUCCGCCUGGGGAGUACGACCGCAAGGUUGAAACUCAAAGGAAUUGACGGGGGCCCGCACAAGCGGUGGAGCAUGUGGUUUAAUUCGAAGCAACGCGAAGAACCUUACCAGGUCUUGACAUCCCGAUGCUAUUUCUAGAGAUAGAAAGUUACUUCGGUACAUCGGUGACAGGUGGUGCAUGGUUGUCGUCAGCUCGUGUCGUGAGAUGUUGGGUUANNNNNNNNANCGAGCGCAACCCCUAUUGUUAGUUGCCAUCAUUCAGUUGGGCACUCUAGCGAGACUGCCGGUAAUAAACCGGAGGAAGGUGGGGAUGACGUCAAAUCAUCAUGCCCCUUAUGACCUGGGCUACACACGUGCUACAAUGGUUGGUACAACGAGUUGCGAGUCGGUGACGGCAAGCUAAUCUCUUAAAGCCAAUCUCAGUUCGGAUUGUAGGCUGCAACUCGCCUACAUGAAGUCGGAAUCGCUAGUAAUCGCGGAUCAGCACGCCGCGGUGAAUACGUUCCCGGGCCUU
rnacentral:rRNA from 1 species